GGUCAUUAUGUAACUCGGUGAACGCUUUAAAAUCACAGUCACGACAACAAAUGACAGCGAUUUUUCGUUUUUGCGAUCAUGUAACACACAUCUCCCACCGAAAUGACGUCAUCUUGGAUCGUUCUCUGUCACGGUCACUUGUAGGGAUUUAUCCAAGUUAUAACGCAGUUUUUACGUAUCGAUAGUCAGUUUAAGCGAUUAUGUAAGCAUAAUGAUCAUACAACUGGGUGACACAGAAGUUGUCAAAGUCAAUCGCUAUAGAAACUAAUACCGAGCAGUGUUUUAAUAAAGUUUACUUGACGCCUGUGAUUCAAUAAUUACAAAUAAAAGUACUUUUAGGAUUUUUUUGAAUUUUGUACUAUACCUUGUAAGUAAGGUAUUAGUUUGUAAGUCAAUAAAAUCAGAAUUAGAAAAGUUUUUCAUGUAAAAUAUGACGAAAGUUGAGAAUAUAUAGUAGGUACCUACCUACAUACUUAUUUCAUAAAGCAGAAUUACAGUUUUAGAGUUAGUUGAAGUGAAUUUAAUUAAUUGUGUUAUUUUUGUAGUGUUUACCGACAUUGCCAUGUACAAUACAAUGCAUGUAGCAUUUGUAUUGUACGCGGAAACGGAACGAAAAAGAUGUCUUUGUCGAGUUCAUUGCAAAACUUUCGUGUCGCGAUACCAGCAGGUUUUAGAAGAAAUACAAAGUCUUCGAACAACUGCUGUUCGCAAUGAAUUAGAGAUAAGUCUUGGCAGCUUUAAACUUUUAUGCCAAUGGAUCAUACAAAUGGCUUUGUGAUGGCUAAGGCAUCUUUUAGCAAAUGCCUACAUGAAGUCGCUGACUCUCCUGAAUACCCCAGCUGUUUAAAAAAAAUGUGUUAAGUUCCCUUUGCAUUAAACACAAAAUCAUUAUAAAUAAAUUUAUGAAAAAAUUUGGAUUGCCCGGGUAUUAGGGCGCAUUGAUUGCACCCAUGUGACAAUAGUUCGGCCUACAAGCCAAGAGCUACUAGGAGGCUAACAAUUAGAAUUGAAUAAAAGCAUGGUACCUCCUUUUAUUUAAACAUUAACUUAUUUAUAUAUUGUCAAUUAAUAUUUCAGAUAUGUGAUGCCAAUCUAAUAAUAACAUAGUGGAUGCUCAAUUUGGUGGUGCAUCUUAUGACUUGUACAUAUGGAACCAGUGCAAUAAGACCACUUGAGGAAAACCUGCCCAAUAGGGACCGCUGUUGGUUGUUAGGUGACCAAUGUUUGCAUGAUGACCCCCAUCUUGGGAGCUGCUCCUAGAUCCCAUGAAGAUAUGCACAACAUUACUGUGUCAGAAAUACGGUGGAGCCUUGUAGUUGGGUGCAUAUUGUAAAAUGUUUCCUCACUCCAAAACCAUGAACUCUGGUUUUCUAAACCCUCAAGCUAUGCAGCCGAAGGAGGAGACUUAUCACAGGAGAAUCACUAAUAAUUUUGAAGAAGUGAAGAGCUUAACAAUGUUUCAACCAACACCUAAAGAAGCUUUCACUUGGCUGUUAGAUCAAGGGCUGGAUACAGAAAACAGUAAUCCUUGUGAUGGCAGUAUUGUCCAAGGAUUCCUCACUCAAAACCAUGAUAACAAGUUGCUAGAACCCUCAAGCUAUGCAGACAAAGGACUGGAUAUAUUUUUUCGUGACCAAGCCUUCUGUAUAAUUAUUUAUACUUAAACCAUACAAAGCACUAUCUAGCCCCAAAGUAGGCAUACAGAGUAGCUUGUGUUGUGGGUACUAAGAUAGUUGAUAUUAUAAUAUUCAUUUACAUUUAUAUACUACCUAUAAAUACUUAUAUAAUGUAUAAAUACACACACACUGGAAAAAACCCAUGCUCUUCACACAAAUAUUUUCCAGGUGUGGGAAUCGAACCCAUGACCGUGGAUGCAGGAGCACUACUUACUGCGCCACGCGUAUGUGUUUUUAUUUUGAAGCAAAUUAUUAAAGUUGAUAAUUCAAAUUGUA